rnacentral:tRNA from 1 species
UAAAUGAAAGCCAAAUAAAAGGUGCCUAUCUGUUAAUUAGGAGAUUGUAAAGUAUUUACUCAUUUAG